AUGUCUGUUAAGAAAUCUCUAUCUUUUAACAAUGGCAACACAGCUUCCAAUCUAAAGAGCCAGAAAUCAACAAAACAAAAACGAUUCAGUCGUUCUUUGGUUGAAGCUGUGUCUAUGGAACCAGAAAAGAAGCUGAAAGAGAUGGAUUCAAAUAAACUGAAAGGUGAAAUCAAAAGAUGGGCUAAAGCUGUUGUUGCUUACGCUCGACAAGUUGGCGGCAGUUUUGGAAGAGAUCAUGGCAAGUCGCAGAUUUAA